GUAGGUGGCAAGCGUUGUCCGGAAUUAUUGGGCGUAAAGCGCGCGCAGGCGGGUCCUCUAAGUCUGAUGUGAAAGCCCACGGCUCAACCGUGGAGGGUCAUUGGAAACUGGGGGACUUGAGUACAGAAGAGGAAAGCGGAAUUCCAAGUGUAGCGGUGAAAUGCGUAGAGAUUUGGAGGAACACCAGUGGCGAAGGCGGCUUUCUGGUCUGUAACUGACGCUGAGGCGCGAAAGCGUGGGGGGCGAACAGGAUAGAUACCCUGGUAGUCCACGCCGUAAACGAUGAGUGCUAAGUGUUAGGGGGUUUCCGCCCCUUAGUGCUGCAGCUAACGCAUUAAGCACUCCGCCUGGGGAGUACGGCCGCAAAGGCUG
rnacentral:rRNA from 1 species